GUACCCGCGGCAAGACGGAAAGACCCCGUGAACCUUUACUAUAGCUUGACACUGAACAUUGAGCCUUGAUGUGUAGGAUAGGUGGGAGGCUUUGAAGCGUGGACGCCAGUCUGCGUGGAGCCGACCUUGAAAUACCACCCUUUAAUGUUUGAUGUUCUAACGUGGACCCGUAAUCCGGGUUGCGGACAGUGUCUGGUGGGUAGUUUGACUGGGGCGGUCUCCUCCUAAAGAGUAACGGAGGAGCACGAAGGUUGGCUAAUCCUGGUCGGACAUCAGGAGGUUAGUGCAAUGGCAUAAGCCAGCUUGACUGCGAGCGUGACGGCGCGAGCAGGUGCGAAAGCAGGUCAUAGUGAUCCGGUGGUUCUGAAUGGAAGGGCCAUCGCUCAACGGAUAAAAGGUACUCCGGGGAUAACAGGCUGAUACCGCCCAAGAGUUCAUAUCGACGGCGGUGUUUGGCACCUCGAUGUCGGCUCAUCACAUCCUGGGGCUGAAGUAGGUCCCAAGGGUAUGGCUGUUCGCCAUUUAAAGUGGUACGCGAGCUGGGUUUAGAACGUCGUGAGACAGUUCGGUCCCUAUCUGCCGUGGGCGCUGGAGAACUGAGGGGGGCUGCUCCUAGUACGAGAGGACCGGAGUGGACGCAUCACUGGUGUUCGGGUUGUCAUGCCAAUGGCACUGCCCGGUAGCUAAAUGCGGAAGAGAUAAGUGCUGAAAGCAUCUAAGCACGAAACUUGCCCCGA
rnacentral:rRNA from 2 species